AGUGAACGCUGGCGGUAGGCCUAACACAUGCGAGUCGAACGGCAGCACAGUAAGAGCUUGCUCUUACGGGUGGCGAGUGGCGGACGGGUGAGGAAUACAUCGGAAUCUACUUUUUCGUGGGGGAUAACGUAGGGAAACUUACGCUCAUACCGCAUACGACCUACGGGUGAAAGCAGGGGAUCUUCGGACCUUGCGCGAUUGAAUGCGCCGAUGUCGUAUUAGCUAGUUGGCGGGGUAAAGGCCCACCAAGUCGACGAUCCGUAGCUGGUCUGAGAGGAUGAUCAGCCACACUGGAACUGAGACACGGUCCAGGCUCCUACGGGAGGCAGCAGUGGGGAAUGUUGGACAAUGGGCGCAAGCCUGAUCCAGCCAGACCGCGUGGGUGAAGAAGGCCUUCGGGUUGUAAAGCCCUUUUGUUGGGAAAGAAAAGCAGCAGGUUAAUACCCCGCUGUUCUGACGGUACCCAAAGAAUAAGCACCGGCUAACUUCGUG
rnacentral:rRNA from 1 species